AGACCCGAAACCCGGUGAUCUAGCCAUGGGCAGGUUGAAGGUUGGGUAACACUAACUGGAGGACCGAACCGACUAAUGUUGAAAAAUUAGCGGAUGACCUGUGGCUGGGGGUGAAAGGCCAAUCAAACCGGGAGAUAGCUGGUUCUCCCCGAAAGCUAUUUAGGUAGCGCCUCGUGAACUCAUCUCCGGGGGUAGAGCACUGUUUCGGCUAGGGGGCCAUCCCGGCUUACCAACCCGAUGCAAACUGCGAAUACCGGAGAAUGUUAUCACGGGAGACACACGGCGGGUGCUAACGUCCGUCGUGAAGAGGGAAACAACCCAGACCGCCAGCUAAGGUCCCAAAGUCAUGGUUAAGUGGGAAACGAUGUGGGAAGGCCCAGACAGCCAGGAUGUUGGCUUAGAAGCAGCCAUCAUUUAAAGAAAGCGUAAUAGCUCACUGGUCGAGUCGGCCUGCGCGGAAGAUGUAACGGGGCUAAACCAUGCACCGAAGCUGCGGCAGCGGCACGCAAGUGUUGUUGGGUAGGGGAGCGUUCUGUAAGCCGUUGAAGGUGUGCUGUGAGGCAUGCUGGAGGUAUCAGAAGUGCGAAUGCUGACAUAAGUAACGAUAAAGCGGGUGAAAAGCCCGCUCGCCGGAAGACCAAGGGUUCCUGUCCAACGUUAAUCGGGGCAGGGUGAGUCGACCCCUAAGGCGAGGCCGAAAGGCGUAGUCGAUGGGAAACGGGUUAAUAUUCCCGUACUUGGUGUUACUGCGAAGGGGGGACGGAGAAGGCUAUGUUGGCCGGGCGACGGUUGUCCCGGUUUAAGCGUGUAGGCUGGUUUUCCAGGCAAAUCCGGAAAAUCAAGGCUGAGGCGUGACGACGAGGCACCACGGUGCUGAAGCAACAAAUGCCCUGCUUCCAGGAAAAGCCUCUAAGCGUCAGGUAACAUCAAAUCGUACCCCAAACCGACACAGGUGGUCAGGUAGAGAAUACCAAGGCGCUUGAGAGAACUCGGGUGAAGGAACUAGGCAAAAUGGUGCCGUAACUUCGGGAGAAGGCACGCUGACACGUAGGUGAAGCGGUUUACCCGUGGAGCUGAAGUCAGUCGAAGAUACCAGCUGGCUGCAACUGUUUAUUAAAAACACAGCACUGUGCAAACACGAAAGUGGACGUAUACGGUGUGACGCCUGCCCGGUGCCGGAAGGUUAAUUGAUGGGGUCAGCGCAAGCGAAGCUCCUGAUCGAAGCCCCGGUAAACGGCGGCCGUAACUAUAACGGUCCUAAGGUAGCGAAAUUCCUUGUCGGGUAAGUUCCGACCUGCACGAAUGGCGUAAUGAUGGCCAGGCUGUCUCCACCCGAGACUCAGUGAAAUUGAACUCGCUGUGAAGAUGCAGUGUACCCGCGGCAAGACGGAAAGACCCCGUGAACCUUUACUAUAGCUUGACACUGAACACUGGUCCUUGAUGUGCAGGAUAGGUGGGAGGCUUUGAAGCGUGGACGCCAGUCUGCGUGGAGCCGUCCUUGAAAUACCACCCUUUAAUGGCUGGUGUUCUAACGUGGGCCCCUGACCGGGGUUGCGGACAGUGUCUGGUGGGUAGUUUGACUGGGGCGGUCUCCUCCCAAAGAGUAACGGAGGAGCACGAAGGUUGGCUAAUCCUGGUCGGACAUCAGGAGGUUAGUGCAAUGGCAUAAGCCAGCUUGACUGCGAGCGUGACGGCGCGAGCAGGUGCGAAAGCAGGUCAUAGUGAUCCGGUGGUUCUGAAUGGAAGGGCCAUCGCUCAACGGAUAAAAGGUACUCCGGGGAUAACAGGCUGAUACCGCCCAAGAGUUCAUAUCGACGGCGGUGUUUGGCACCUCGAUGUCGGCUCAUCACAUCCUGGGGCUGAAGUAGGUCCCAAGGGUAUGGCUGUUCGCCAUUUAAAGUGGUACGCGAGCUGGGUUUAGAACGUCGUGAGACAGUUCGGUCCCUAUCUGCCGUGGGCGCUGGAAGAUUGAGGGGGGCUGCUCCUAGUACGAGAGGACCGGAGUGGACGCAUCACUGGUGUUCGGGUUGUCAUGCCAAUGGCACUGCCCGGUAGCUAAAUGCGGAAGAGAUAAGUGCUGAAAGCAUCUAAGCACGAAACUUGCCCCGAGAUGAAUCUUCCCUGAGACUUUGAGUCUCCUGAAGGAACGUUGAAGACGACGACGUUGAUAGGCCGGGUGUGUAAGCGCAGCGAUGCGUUGAGCUAACCGGUACUAAUGAACCGUGAGGCUUAACCUUACAACGCCGAAG
rnacentral:rRNA from 1 species